GGUGCCAUAGCCAAGAGGUAAGGCAGAGGACUGCAACUCCUUUAUCCCCGGUUCAAAUCCGAGUGGCACCU
rnacentral:tRNA from 1 species